rnacentral:rRNA from 1 species
UACGUAGGGUGCGAGCGUUGUCCGGAAUUAUUGGGCGUAAAGAGCUCGUAGGCGGUGUGUCGCGUCGGUCGUGAAAACUUGGGGCUUAACCCUGAGCUUGCGGUCGAUACGGGCAUCACUGGAGUUCGGCAGGGGAGACUGGAAUUCCUGGUGUAGCGGUGAAAUGCGCAGAUAUCAGGAGGAACACCGGUGGCGAAAGGCGGGUCUCUGGGCCGAUGACUGACGCUGAGGAGCGAAAGCGUGGGGAGCAAACAGG